rnacentral:rRNA from 1 species
GGACGAAAACCAGCGGGCUAAUACCUCGUUGGCUUGACGGUACCGGCAAAGGAAGCACCGGCUAACUCUGUGCCAGCAGCCGCGGUAAUACAGAGGGUGCAAACGUUGCUCGGAAUUAUUGGGCGUAAAGCGCAUGUAGGCGGCAUGGUAAGUCGACUGUGAAAGCCCUUGGCUCAACCAAGGAAGUGCAGUCGAAACUGCCAAGCUUGAGUCCCGAAGAGGGUGGCAGAAUGGCCAGUGUAGAGGUGAAAUUCGUAGAUAUUGGCUAGAAUACCAGUGGCGAAGGCGGCCACCUGGGAGGGUACUGACGCUGAGAUGCGAAAGCGCGGGGAGCAAACAGGAUUAGAUACCCUGGUAGUCCGCGCCGUAAACGAUGAACACUAGUUGUUGCGGGUAUUGACCCCUGCAGUGACGACGCCAACGCAUUAAGUGUUCCGCCUGGGGAGUACGGCCGCAAGGCUAAAACUCAAAGGAAUUGACGGGGG